rnacentral:lncRNA from 1 species
CGCGGCAGAGGGAGGCCCAAGAAGUAUUGGGGAGAGGUGAUUAGGCAGGACAUGGCUAGAAUGCAGGUUUCCGAGGACAUGACACUCGAUAGGAAAUUCUGGAGGUCUAGAAUCAGGGUUGUAGGAUAGGAGACCCUAGAGUUUUUCGUUCGCUCCUCCCGGGGUUUUGGGGGGUGGGGGGGGAACAGCAGGGUUACUCAUAGAUGAUAUGUGUUUACUGUACGUUACUAUUACUUGCUAUUGUAUUUUGGUAUUUUGUUUCCUUUGUUCGGAUUAUUAUUAACGUUAUUUAUACUGGAAUUUCUAAUGNN